rnacentral:rRNA from 1 species
GAGUUUGAUCAUGGCUCAGAUUGAACGCUGGCGGUAUGCAUAACACAUGCAAGUCGAACGGUAGCAGGCUCGGGAAACCGAGUGCUGACGAGUGGCGGACGGGUGAGUAAUGCGUAGGGAUUUGCCUAGUAGAGGGGGAUAACCUGGGGAAACUCAGGCUAAUACCGCAUAUGCCUAAGGGUGAAAGAGGGGGACCGUAAAAGGCCUCUUGCUACUGGAUGAACCUGCGUAGGAUUAGCUAGUUGGUAGGGUAAAGGCCUACCAAGGCGAAGAUCCUUAACUGGUCUGAGAGGACGACCAGUCACACUGGGACUGAGACACGGCCCAGACUCCUACGGGAGGCAGCAGUGGGGAAUAUUGGACAAUGGGCGCAAGGCUGAUC